CCGAGCUGUGCUGGUCUACCCCAGUUCGGGAGAUUCUCAUGGGCAGUAGAAAGCCUUCCACCAGGGCGACUUACUCAGCUAAGUGGAAGCGUUUCUCCUGCUGGUGUUCAGAGAAAGCUCUUCGCCCUAUGGAGACUCCCGUCACCACUAUUUUAGACUACAUCUGGUCCCUCAAGACCCAGGGUCUAGCGUUGUCGUCCCUCCGGGUCCACCUAGCGGCCAUCUCCGCGUUUCACCCGGGAAUGGACGGUUGUUCUGUCUUCUCCCACCCUAUGGUGGCGAGAUUCCUGAAGGGACUGGAGCGGCUCUAUCCACAAAUCCGCCCUCCAGCCCCUUCAUGGGACCUCAACCUGGUCCUAACUCGGCUCAUGGGCCCUCCAUUCGAGCCAUUAGCUACUUGCUCCCUGCUCUACCUCUCGUGGAAGACCGCCUUCCUAGUGGCCAUUACCUCAGCUAGACGAGUGUCCGAACUGAGGGCCCUCACAGUGGACCCGCCGUAUACCAUCUUCCAUAAAGACAAGGUACAGCUGAGGCCUCACCCUGCCUUUCUUCCCAAGGUGGUCUCAGCUUUCCAUGUUAAUCAGGAGAUUUUCCUCCCAGUCUUUUUCCCAAAGCCCCAUUCGUCCCGCAGAGAGCAACAGCUCCACUCGCUAGAUGUACGUCGGGCGCUAGCAUUUUAUGUGGACAGGACCAAACCCUUUCGCAAGUCCCCCCAGUUAUUUGUGGCGGUAGCAGACCGGGUUAAGGGGCUGACGAUUUCCUCCCAGAGGCUAUCUUCCUGGGAUACCUCCUGCAUCAGAACCUGCUAUGACUUGGCCCACGUUCCAGCGGGCCGUGUGACUGCUCACUCCACCAGAACACAAGCAUCAUCGCUGGCUUUCCUGGCCCGCGUACCGAUCCAAGAGAUUUGUAGGGCGGCAACCUGGUCAUCGGUCCACACAUUCGCUUCCCAUUACGCCCUGGUUCAGCAGUCCAGAGAUGAUGCGGCCUUUGGCUCUGCAGUACUCCAGGCCGCGACCUCUCACUCCGACCCCACCGCCUAGGUAAGGCUUGGGAAUCACCUACCUGGAAUGGAUAUGAGCAAUCACUCGAAGAAGAAAAGACGGUUACUCACCUUUGUAACUGUUGUUCUUCGAG
rnacentral:lncRNA from 1 species